UAUAACUGCUAUUGGAAAAUAAUCUAGUAAAUUUCAUUUACUGGAAUAUUACACGUGUAUUUUUUAAAUAGUUGCAUUUAAAAGUUUUUUAUAAGCAGUAGUAUUGGGGUCAAUUUUGAAAUAUUAGUUUACCAGGAGUGUUUGUCUUUUGAUUUGGAUAUUUUGUUUCUGAUAAAAUUUAACUUCCAGUUGCCCACCUAUUUUCUAGCUGAUGUGGGAAAAUUUAUAUUUUGUUCCUUAACUUUCUUUUUGGAGCCUAAAGCCAAUAUAUAAAAAUACAAAGAUGUUCAUUUCAAUGAUUCACCUCUUUAAGAAGAAAGCUUUCUCAUAGAAUGCAUGUGAAGACAGACUUUUUCAUUGCAUUUCAUUCUCUCUUAUACUUGAUAAGAUGGAUAAUAGAUAAGCAAGAUUACUCAGUGUUUAAUCUUUGUCAUUGAAAUGGUUUUUUUUUUUGGUUUUGUUUUUAAAGGUGCAUUCAUUUUACAUUUGCGAAAUUAUUAUUGCCUUUAAAUAAAGACUUAGAAAAACAACAUUAAAAUGAGAUUUUGCAUUUGUUAAUAGAGACAGAUUAUAAUAAAUAAAACUUUUGUGGUUCGUGCAAUAGUCUUUUCAUAUUUAUGAUUGUGGGAAACAUAGGUUACAAUUGAUUAUUCAGUGGAAUUUUUGAAGAGACAUUUUGAUUUAAUGAAGAUUGCUAGACUUGAAUUUUCAAGUCCUAGACCCAGUCCUGGCCUUACCACACAGCCACUUUUACAAAUUUGGACAAAUAGCUUAAUGUCCUAAUUUCCUCUCUAAAAUGAAAGGGUACCAACUCAAUCCUGCUCUAAAUCUGAUCUUGUAAGUAGAAAAAAUGGAUCAUGUAAUUAAAUCUUAUAAUUUUAGAGCUAUUGGAUAACAUGUGAAAUUCUUGUCUUCAUUUUAGAAAAGAGGAGACUGGAAAAAGGAAAUUGCUCAAUGACGGUGCUAGAAAGUGCUAGAUGCCCUAAUAUCAUACCUAGUUGGUGACAUAGGACAAGUACAUUGAUCAUAGAUAAGUGUAAUUUCCCUUGUUAUGCAUCAUAAUAGAUUUUAAUGAAUGAAGCUCUCAAACAUUUUCAUAAAGAAAACCCCAUUACCUCCUAUAUUUUAAUAUCUCUUAAAAAGUCCCAGACAUUAUUCUGGGAAUUGGGAUACAAGCAC
rnacentral:lncRNA from 1 species